rnacentral:rRNA from 1 species
UGGCGGCGCGCCUAAACAUGCAAGUCGAACGAGAAAGUGGAGCAAUCCAUGAGUACAGUGGCGUACGGGUGAGUAACACGUGGGUAAUCUGCCUCUUUGUGUGGAAUGACCCUGGGAAACCGGGGCUAAUACCGCAUAAGCUCGAGAGAGGAAAGCAGCAAUGCGCUGAGAGAGGAGCCCGCGGCCGAUUAGCUAGUUGGUAGGGUAAAGGCCUACCAAGGCAAAGAUCGGUAGCCGGCCUGAGAGGGCACACGGCCACACUGGCACUGAAACACGGGCCAGACUCCUACGGGAGGCAGCAGUGGGGAAUCUUGCACAAUGGGGGAAACCCUGAUGCAGCGACGCCGCGUGAGCGAUGAAGCCCUUCGGGGUGUAAAGCUCUUUCGGCAGGGAAGAUGAUGACGGUACCUGCAGAAGCAGCUGCGGCUAACUACGUGCCAGCAGCCGCGGUAAUACGUAGGCAGCAAGCGUUGUUCGGAGUUACUGGGCGUAAAGGGUGUGUAGGCGGUUUUUUAAGUUUGGUGUGAAAUCUCCCNGGCUCACUGGGAGGGUGCGCCGAAUACUGAAAGA